rnacentral:rRNA from 1 species
AUUGAACGCUGGCGGAAUGCUUUACACAUGCAAGUCGAGCGGCAGCGCGGGGCAACCUGGCGGCGAGCGGCGAACGGGUGAGUAAUACAUCGGAACGUGCCCAGACGUGGGGGAUAACUACUCGAAAGAGUGGCUAAUACCGCAUACGAUCUAAGGAUGAAAGCGGGGGAUCGCAAGACCUCGCGCGUUUGGAGCGGCCGAUGGCAGAUUAGGUAGUUGGUGGGGUAAAGGCUUACCAAGCCCGCGAUCUGUAGCUGGUCUGAGAGGAUGAUCAGCCACACUGGGACUGAGACACGGCCCAGACUCCUACGGGAGGCAGCAGUGGGGAAUUUUGGACAAUGGGCGAAAGCCUGAUCCAGCCAUUCCGCGUGCAGGAUGAAGGCCCUCGGGUUGUAAACUGCUUUGUACAGAACGAAAAGCUCUUCUAAUACAGAGAGUCCAUGACGGUACUGUUAAGAAUAAGCACCGGCUAACUACGUGCCAGCAGCCGCGGUAAUC